AUCAAAUCAUUAAAAGAAAAACUCAAAAUGGGAAGCAAAUAGAUUGCAAAUUUCCCUGCCCUCAGUCGCCGCAACAUCCCCGAGAGACAUUUCCGCUGGGUACAUACUUUUACCCUUCCUUUUUUGCUUGAUAAAGGACCAUAGAAAUUUAGGAUUAGAAGUUAAUGUCUGUUCCAGGUUACUCAGGUGUUUAUUGUAUGCAGAUUUUUGUAGUUGGUAGCAUCUAUGCCUUAACAGCUCAAACUCUAAAAUAUCACGUGGAUUUUUGUUAUACUUGCGCACUUUUAGUCUGCAUUUGUGUUUUUCUUUUAAUGAUUUGAUAAGGCUCGGCGUGAACCAGGGCGGGAACUUAUAGUUUGGUGGUUUAGACUUCGGGACAUGCUUCUCGAUUACAUUGCGAAGGAUGGCAUGGAAUUUGGUCGACAUCAGAUCAACUCCAAGGUCGUCCGGUAAUACGUCGUUCCAUGAUAUCUUCUGUAGCGCAGCAACUAUCUUAACGUAAUCAGCCUUGAAGAAACAGAACUUUACGUCACUAUUCGGCAAAAGAGUUACAGGGUCAGCACUAGGGACUAUGAAUUGAAGCGGUGGAUGCAACGGAUCCACUGAUGUUAAAGGAUCUGAAUUUAGGUCCAAUUCCGUAAUGGCAAUUGAACAAAGUACCAGGUCUAGUAUUUUACCCUUCACAU